rnacentral:rRNA from 1 species
UACGUAGGGGGCAAGCGUUAUCCGGAUUUACUGGGUGUAAAGGGAGCGUAGACGGCGAUGCAAGCCAGAUGUAAAAGCCCGGGGCUCAACCCCGGGACUGCAUUUGGAACUGUAUAGCUAGAGUGUCGGAGAGGCAGGCGGAAUUCCUAGUGUAGCGGUGAAAUGCGUAGAUAUUAGGAGGAACACCAGUGGCGAAGGCGGCCUGCUGGACGAUGACUGACGUUGAGGCUCGAAAGCGUGGGGAGCAAACAGG